rnacentral:tRNA from 1 species
GGCUUCGUGGUGUAGUGGCCAGCACACUCGAUGCAUAACCGAGAGGUCCGUGGUUCGAUUCCCGGCGAAGGCG